CGAAGUCUGGUGCCAGCAGCCGCGGUAAUUCCAGCUCCAAUAGCGUAUAUUAAAGUUGUUGCNGUUAAAAAGCUCGUAGUUGAAUUUCGGGGUUAGUAGGUUGGUCGUGCCUUUGGUAUGUACUGGUCUCACUGAUUCCUCCUUCUUGAAGAACUGUAAUGUCAUUAAUUUGGUGUUGCAGGGAAACAGGACUGUUACUUUGAAAAAAUUAGAGUGUUUAAAGCAGGCUAACGCCUGAAUACAUUAGCAUGGAAUAAUGAAAUAGGACGUUUGAUCCUAUUUUAGUUGGUUUCUAGGGAUUGACGUAAUGAUUAAUAGGGAUAGUUGGGGGCAUUAGUAUUCAAUUGUCAGAGGUGAAAUUCUUGGAUUUAUUGAAGACUAACUACUGCGAAAGCAUUUGCCAAGGAUGUUUUCAUUAAUCAAGAACGAAAGUUAGGGGAUCGAAGACGAUCAGAUACCGUCGUAGUCUUAACCAUAAACUAUGCCGACUAGGGAUCGGAUGAUGUUAAUUUUUUUAAUGACUCAUUCGGCGCCUUACG
rnacentral:rRNA from 1 species